rnacentral:miRNA from 1 species
UUUGUGCACGUGUGUGUGUGUAUGUCCACUAAUGUGUAUGUAGUUGCACACUCACACAUACGUGCUUAUG